rnacentral:misc_RNA from 1 species
AAACUGCGAAAAGUUAUGUGACCUGCAAUCUUCGCGAAUCAUCCAAUUUUUGAACGCACUUUGCACCUUGUGGCUCAUGUCACUAGGUAUACUUGUUUGAGUAUCCACAACCAUCUCACCUCCCUUUAGGGCGAAGUGGACCUGAGAGUUCUACGAGCUGUCUUAUGACAGUUAGUUGUCUCUUUAAAUGAAUGGCUGAAACAAAUGGCAUGUCUCCUCUGGGAGCCUGGCAGACCAUUGGGAUAACGUCCCUACAAUCGUUUGUCAGACUCUUUAUAAGCGUUGACUCAACCAUAGCCACCUCGAUCAAACCUUGCAGUCGUGAAAGCGUCUAUGAGGAGCGAUUUCUAGGCCACAUGGAUUUGUGGCUUGUUUAAUGGAUCUCAAAUCAAGUAAGGAU